rnacentral:rRNA from 1 species
CGAUUCUGGCUCAGGAUGAACGCUAGCGGCAGGCUUAACACAUGCAAGUCGAGGGGCAGCGCGAGGUAGCAAUACUUUGGCGGCGACCGGCGGAAGGGUGCGUAACGCGUGAGCAACAUGCCCGUAUGAGGGGGAUAGUCAUUGGAAACGAUGCGUAAUACCCCGUAACAACAGAAGUGGCAUCACCACUGUUUGAAAGAUUUAUCGCAUACGGAUUGGCUCGCGUGACAUUAGCUAGUUGGCGGGUAACGGCCCACCAAGGCGACGAUGUCUAGGGGAACUGAGAGGUUGGUCCCCCACACUGGAACUGAGACACGGUCCAGACUCCUACGGGAGGCAGCAGUGAGGAAUAUUGGUCAAUGGGCGGAAGCCUGAACCAGCCAUGCCGCGUGAAGGACUAAGGCCCUAUGGGUCGUAAACUUCUUUUGACGGGGAGCAAUAAGGGCGUCGAGCACGUCCGAUGAGAGUACUCGUCGAAUAAGCAUCGGCUAACUCCGUGCCAGCCGCAGC